rnacentral:tRNA from 1 species
GGAGGCGGGAGCGGGACUUCCCUCGCACGGAAUAAGCCAGGGGUUCAAAUCCCCUCACCUCCA